rnacentral:rRNA from 1 species
CACGUAGGGCGCAAGCGUUGUCCGGAAUUAUUGGGCGUAAAGAGCUUGUAGGCGGUUUGUCGCGUCUGCUGUGAAAUUUCGGGGCUCAACCCCGAACUUGCAGUGGGUACGGGCAGGCUAGAGUGUGGUAGGGGAGACUGGAAUUCCUGGUGUAGCGGUGAAAUGCGCAGAUAUCAGGAGGAACACCGAUGGCGAAGGCAGGUCUCUGGGCCACUACUGACGCUGAGAAGCGAAAGCAUGGGGAGCGAACAGG